rnacentral:rRNA from 1 species
UGAAUAUGGGGGGACCAUCCUCCAAGGCUAAAUACUCCUGACUGACCGAUAGUGAACCAGUACCGUGAGGGAAAGGCGAAAAGAACCCCUGUGAGGGGAGUGAAAUAGAACCUGAAACCGUGUACGUACAAGCAGUAGGAGCACCUUCGUGGUGUGACUGCGUACCUUUUGUAUAAUGGGUCAGCGACUUAUAUUCAGUGGCAAGGUUAACCGUAUAGGGGAGCCGUAGCGAAAGCGAGUCUUAACUGGGCGCUCAGUCUCUGGAUAUAGACCCGAAACCGGGUGAUCUAGCCAUGGGCAGGUUGAAGGUUGAGUAACAUCAACUGGAGGACCGAACCGACUAAUGUUGAAAAAUUAGCGGAUGACUUGUGGCUAGGGGUGAAAGGCCAAUCAAACUCGGAGAUAGCUGGUUCUCCCCGAAAGCUAUUUAGGUAGCGCCUCGGACGAAUACUACUGGGGGUAGAGCACUGUUAAGGCUAGGGGGUCAUCCCGACUUACCAACCCUUUGCAAACUCCGAAUACCAGUAAGUACUAUCCGGGAGACACACGGCGGGUGCUAACGUCCGUCGUGGAGAGGGAAACAACCCAGACCGCCA